CGGGGGAGGCAGGAUUUUGGGCUGUGUCCCGGCGCCCUGUGUUCCGGGGCCUGCGCUGUUGGAUUUGCGCUCCCGGGCCGCGGCCCCCU
rnacentral:pre_miRNA from 1 species